rnacentral:rRNA from 1 species
AGCGAACGCUGGCGGCAGGCCUAACACAUGCAAGUCGAACGGAUCCUUCGGGAUUAGUGGCGGACGGGUGAGUAACACGUGGGAACGUGCCUUUUGGUUCGGGAACAACUCAGGGAAACUUGAGCUAAUACCGAAUGUGCCCUUCGGGGAAAGAUUAUCGCCAUUAGAGCGGCCCGCGUCUGAUUAGCUAGUUGGUGGGGUAAAGGCUCACCAAGGCUACGAUCAGUAGCUGGUCUGAGAGGAUGAUCAGCCACAUUGGGACUGAGACACGGCCCAAACUCCUACGGGAGGCAGCAGUGGGGAAUCUUGCGCAAUGGGCGAAAGCCUGACGCAGCCAUGCCGCGUGAAUGAUGAAGGUCUUAGGAUUGUAAAAUUCUUUCACCGGGGACGAUAAAUGACGGUACCCGGAGAAGAAGCCCCGGCU